UGACCUGCGGAAGGAUCAUUACCGAGUUGAUUCGAGCUCCGGCUCGACUCUCCCACCCUAUGUGUACCUACCUCUGUUGCUUUGGCGGGCCGCGGUCCUCCGCACCGGCGCCCUUCGGGGGGCUGGCCAGCGCCCGCCAGAGGACCAUAAAACUCCAGUCAGUGAACUUCGCAGUCUGAAAAACAAGUUAAUAAACUAAAACUUUCAACAACGGAUCUCUUGGUUCUGGCAUCGAUGAAGAACGCAGCGAAAUGCGAUAAGUAAUGUGAAUUGCAGAAUUCAGUGAAUCAUCGAAUCUUUGAACGCACAUUGCGCCCCUUGGUAUUCCGAGGGGCAUGCCUGUUCGAGCGUCAUUUCAACCCUCAAGCUCUGCUUGGUAUUGGGCCCCGUCCUCCACGGACGCGCCUUAAAGACCUCGGCGGUGGCGUCUUGCCUCAAGCGUAGUAGAAAACACCUCGCUUUGGAGCGCACGGCGUCGCCCGCCGGACGAACCUUUGAAUUAUUUCUCAAGGUUGACCUCGGAUCAGGUAGGGAUACCCGCUGAACUUAAGCAUAUCAAUA
rnacentral:rRNA from 1 species